CAAUAGCGUAUAUUAAAGUUGUUGCGGUUAAAAAGCUCGUAGUUGGAUUUCUGCCGAGGACGACCGGUCCGCCCUCUGGGUGAGUAUCUGGCUCGGCCUGGGCAUCUUCUUGGAGAACGUAGCUGCACUUGACUGUGUGGUGCGGUAUCCAGGACUUUUACUUUGAGGAAAUUAGAGUGUUUCAGGCAGGCGUGCGCCGGAAUACAUUAGCAUGGAAUAAUCGAACAGGACCGUGUUCCUUUUGUUGGUUUCUAAGGGCAUGGUAAUGAUUAAUAGGGAUAGUUUUUAAAAGGGGUGGCAUUAGUAUUUAAGAUUCAGAGGUGAAAUUCUUUGACAUAAUUAAAGACUAACUUAUGCGAAAGCAUUUGUCAAGAAUGUUUUCAUUAA
rnacentral:rRNA from 1 species